rnacentral:lncRNA from 1 species
CUUGCCUGUUGCUAUUUUUUGUUUCUUCAGAAAAAUUUUGUCUCUAGAGACUAUACCAGAAUUCAAGCCCUCAUGAACCAUUGCUAGUAGCCAUAAGCUUAAAUAUUUUUUUCUUUUUUUUUUUUGUUGUUGUUUUUAAGGAAUAAACUUGCUAUUUUGACCCAGUUAGUUAAAUUAACUUUGCUUUCUGCACUGAUCCCCCAAGCCCAGCAGAAAGCAAAAUAUCAACACUCAUUUGCUGAAGAAAAAAACAUCAGAACUGAAAAUUGGAUUUUGCUAUGAUUUUUUUUUCUCUUUCUCUUUUUAGCAAGAGAAUUUCUUGCUUUUGCAAAAACAAAAGGAAGCCAAUUCAUUUACCUACUCCCUGCUUUUGGGCUGCUUUGCAGAACCAUCAGUUUAUAAAUGCUUCAGGAAUGUUUUGCCUUCGUCAUGGGUCUGGGAUGAACAACCCAACCUGCCAUAGCUUGAUUCCUCUUUGUGAGAAGCAGCUCAGCUCUAGCCCUGUAGUUCUGCUAAGAAGAAUUGAGUCACUUUCGAUCCAGGAAGACCACAGAAAUGACUCUAAG